UGUGAAUUUUUUUUAAAAUUUUCAGAGCAAAUCAGGUAUUUUCCUAUAUUUAUUGACUGAUCUUAUAGAUGUUCAUCAGAGCUCAGAUUAAAGGUGAAGCUUGGUAAAUCAAAAACAGAGAAAACUGAAAUAAAGUGACUUUUCCAGUCAAAUAUUAACUGAA